GUGUAAACCGCUUUUGGCAGGAACGAAAAGCUCUGGGCUAAUACCCUGGGGUGAUGACGGUACCUGCAGAAUAAGCACCGGCUAACUACGUGCCAGCAGCCGCGGUAAUACGUAGGGUGCGAGCGUUAAUCGGAAUUACUGGGCGUAAAGCGUGCGCAGGCGGUUGUGCAAGACAGGCGUGAAAUCCCCGGGCUUAACCUGGGAAUGGCGCUUGUGACUGCACGGCUGGAGUGCGGCAGAGGGGGAUGGAAUUCCGCGUGUAGCAGUGAAAUGCGUAGAUAUGCGGAGGAACACCGAUGGCGAAGGCAAUCCCCUGGGCCUGCACUGACGCUCAUGCACGAAAGCGUGGGGAGCAAACAGGAUUAGAUACCCUGGUAGUCCACGCCCUAAACGAUGUCGACUGGUUGUUGGACCUUGAGUGGUUCANUAACGAAGCUAACGCGUGAAGUCGACCGCCUGGGGAGUACGGCCGCAAGGUUGAAACUCAAAUGAAUUGACGG
rnacentral:rRNA from 1 species